rnacentral:rRNA from 1 species
CCUACGGGAGGCAGCAGUGGGGAAUCUUGCGCAAUGGGCGAAAGCCUGACGCAGCAACGCCGCGUGCGGGAUGAAUGCCUUCGGGUUGUAAACCGCUUUCAGCAGGGACGAAAAUGACGGUACCUGCAGAAGAAGCCCCGGCUAACUACGUGCCAGCAGCCGCGGUAAUACGUAGGGGGCAAGCGUUGUCCGGAUUUAUUGGGCGUAAAGAGCUCGUAGGCGGUUCCGUAAGUCGAGUGUGAAAAAUCUGGGCUCAACCCAGUGGAGCACUCGAUACUGCGGUGACUAGAGUACGGUAGAGGAGUGUGGAAUUCCUGGUGUAGCGGUGAAAUGCGCAGAUAUCAGGAGGAACACCAACGGCGAAGGCAGCACUCUGGGCCGGUACUGACGCUGAGGAGCGAAAGCGUGGGGAGCAAACAGGAUUAGAUACCCUGGUAGUCCACGCCGUAAACGUUGGGCACUAGGUGUGGGAGGGAAUCAACCCCUUCCGUGCCGUAGCUAACGCAUUAAGUGCCCCGCCUGGGGAGUACGGCCGCAAGGCUAAAACUCAAAUGAAUUGAACGGCUGAGACGUGCGAGCGCACGAGGAGAGG